rnacentral:rRNA from 1 species
CACGUAGGGUGCGAGCGUUAAUCGGAAUUACUGGGCGUAAAGCGUGCGCAGGCGGUUCGUUGUGUCGGCGGUGAAAGCCCCGGGCUCAACCUGGGAAUGGCCGUUGAAACUGGCGAACUGGAGUGUGGCAGAGGGGGGUGGAAUUCCGCGUGUAGCAGUGAAAUGCGUAGAGAUGCGGAGGAACACCGAUGGCGAAGGCAGCCCCCUGGGCUGACACUGACGCUCAGGCACGAAAGCGUGGGGAGCAAACAGG